AGAAAUUGAAUAUGUAACUUAUUUUUUCUCCACUGUAACUUUUGAUUUCAAGUUCCCUCCCCUACCCACUUAACUAGCCCGGGCAAAUUCAUAUAUGGUGCAUUGCUUGGUGGACUUGCAAGCUUAUGUAAAAGACAUUUCAAGAUAAAGGAGGAAUUCAAGAGUUCAACCACUGUAAGCCUUGAAUGGCUACACUUGACCCCAAAACUGAUGGACGUCAUUAAGACAACUAUUUAGACUUUGGGUAGCUUUGAAAUGCACUUUGUUGGCAGUCACCCAUGUAGUUUAUACUCAUACUUUAUUUUUUCUUAAAUAGCACAAUUCAACUGAAAUACACAGAGAAGUAGCCAUCUGCUGCCUUAUCACAUACCUUGGAGAGAAGGAAGAGGACCUUUUCAUGGAGUUUGGUGACAAUUUAAGGCCAACCUUGAAAGGCAGGUGAUGAAAACUGCCAUCAUCGGUGACCGGUACACCCCUGGAUCUGACCAUAAGACUGCAACCAUUGUGGUGCGGGAACAAAAAUCCUGGAGGGCCAGAAUUUCCCAAGGUGCUGUGUGUUACUCAUGGGCAUAAUAUAUGCUCUCAAUCUGAGCUAAUGCAAGGAUCUGAAAUAUACUUUAGAAGUUUUUCAGAAGCUGUUCCUUGACCUUGAUGGAACCAGCAUUAUGUUAAAGAUGCUGACUCUGUUUCAAAAAUUGUUAACUGUUUUGAAUCCUGUAUGUGUAACAUUGAUCUUAAAGGUGUUUGCUGCAUUGUGUAAAAGAAAGAUGCAAGAUCUUGUAAAGUUUGGUAGGCACUGAAAGUUGACAUUUAUUGAACACUUGCUUGGAAGUAGUACUGUAACAAAAUGUUUUCUAAGUGGAUUUUUUACCAAUUGAACACAUUUAUUUCUGUGGUCUUAAAUACAUAAAAGCAUAUUGUUUAACUUGGCUACGAUGGUACAAAUCUAAAUUUCUGGUUUAUUUUCACUUUUUAAAUAUGAAGUGUUGAA